rnacentral:rRNA from 1 species
CGAGCGAACGGGGAGCAGCCCAGAGUCUGAAUCAGCUUGUGUGUUAGUGGAACGGUCUGGAAAGUCCGACGGUACAGGGUGAUAGUCCCGUACACCAAAAUGCACAGGUUGUGAACUCGAAGAGUAGGGCGGGACACGUGGUAUCCUGUCUGAAUAUGGGGGGACCAUCCUCCAAGGCUAAAUACUCCUGACUGACCGAUAGUGAACCAGUACCGUGAGGGAAAGGCGAAAAGAACCCCGGCGAGGGGAGUGAAAAAGAACCUGAAACCGUGUACGUACAAGCAGUGGGAGCACCUUCGGGUGUGACUGCGUACCUUUUGUAUAAUGGGUCAGCGACUUAUAUUCUGUAGCAAGGUUAACCGUAUAGGGGAGCCGCAGGGAAACCGAGUCUUAACUGGGCGUUAAGUUGCAGGGUAUAGACCCGAAACCCGGUGAUCUAGCCAUGGGCAGGUUGAAGGUUGGGUAACACUAACUGGAGGACCGAACCGACUAAUGUUGAAAAAUUAGCGGAUGACUUGUGGCUGGGGGUGAAAGGCCAAUCAAACCGGGAGAUAGCUGGUUCUCCCCGAAAGCUAUUUAGGUAGCGCCUCGUGAACUCAUCUUCGGGGGUAGAGCACUGUUUCGGCUAGGGGGUCAUCCCGACUUACCAACCCGAUGCAAACUACGAAUACCGAAGAAUGUUAUCACGGGAGACACACGGCGGGUGCUAACGUCCGUCGUGAAGAGGGAAACAACCCAGACCGCCAGCUAAGGUCCCAAAGUCAUGGUUAAGUGGGAAACGAUGUGGGAAGGCACAGACAGCCAGGAUGUUGGCUUAGAAGCAGCCAUCAUUUAAAGAAAGCGUAAUAGCUCACUGGUCGAGUCGGCCUGCGCGGAAGAUGUAACGGGGCUAAACCAUGCACCGAAGCUGCGGCAGCGACACUAUGUGUUGUUGGGUAGGGGAGCGUUCUGUAAGCCUGCGAAGGUGUGCUGUGAGGCAUGCUGGAGGUAUCAGAAGUGCGAAUGCUGACAUAAGUAACGAUAAAGCGGGUGAAAAGCCCGCUCGCCGGAAGACCAAGGGUUCCUGUCCAACGUUAAUCGGGGCAGGGUGAGUCGACCCCUAAGGCGAGGCCGAAAGGCGUAGUCGAUGGGAAACAGGUUAAUAUUCCUGUACUUGGUGUUACUGCGAAGGGGGGACGGAGAAGGCUAUGUUAGCCGGGCGACGGUUGUCCCGGUUUAAGCAUGUAGGCUGGUUGUCCAGGCAAAUCCGGAUAAUCAAGGCUGAGGUGUGAUGACGAGGCACUACGGUGCUGAAGUAACAAAUGCCCUGCUUCCAGGAAAAGCCUCUAAGCAUCAGGUAACAUUAAAUCGUACCCCAAACCGACACAGGUGGUCAGGUAGAGAAUACCAAGGCGCUUGAGAGAACUCGGGUGAAGGAACUAGGCAAAAUGGUGCCGUAACUUCGGGAGAAGGCACGCUGGUGUGUAGGUGAAGUCCCUGCGGAUGGAGCUGAGACCAGUCGAAGAUACCAGCUGGCUGCAACUGUUUAUUAAAAACACAGCACUGUGCAAACACGAAAGUGGACGUAUACGGUGUGACGCCUGCCCGGUGCCGGAAGGUUAAUUGAUGGGGUUAUCCGUAAGGAGAAGCUCUUGAUCGAAGCCCCGGUAAACGGCGGCCGUAACUAUAACGGUCCUAAGGUAGCGAAAUUCCUUGUCGGGUAAGUUCCGACCUGCACGAAUGGCGUAAUGAUGGCCAGGCUGUCUCCACCCGAGACUCAGUGAAAUUGAACUCGCUGUGAAGAUGCAGUGUACCCGCGGCAAGACGGAAAGACCCCGUGAACCUUUACUAUAGCUUGACACUGAACAUUGAGCCUUGAUGUGUAGGAUAGGUGGGAGGCUUUGAAGCGUGGACGCCAGUCUGCGUGGAGCCAACCUUGAAAUACCACCCUUUAAUGUUUGAUGUUCUAACGUUGGCCCCUGACCGGGGUUGCGGACAGUGUCUGGUGGGUAGUUUGACUGGGGCGGUCUCCUCCCAAAGCGUAACGGAGGAGCACGAAGGUUAGCUAAUCCUGGUCGGACAUCAGGAGGUUAGUGCAAUGGCAUAAGCUAGCUUGACUGCGAGCGUGACGGCGCGAGCAGGUGCGAAAGCAGGUCAUAGUGAUCCGGUGGUUCUGAAUGGAAGGGCCAUCGCUCAACGGAUAAAAGGUACUCCGGGGAUAACAGGCUGAUACCGCCCAAGAGUUCAUAUCGACGGCGGUGUUUGGCACCUCGAUGUCGGCUCAUCACAUCCUGGGGCUGAAGUAGGUCCCAAGGGUAUGGCUGUUCGCCAUUUAAAGUGGUACGCGAGCUGGGUUUAGAACGUCGUGAGACAGUUCGGUCCCUAUCUGCCGUGGGCGCUGGAGAAUUGAGGGGGGCUGCUCCUAGUACGAGAGGACCGGAGUGGACGCAUCACUGGUGUUCGGGUUGUCAUGCCAAUGGCACUGCCCGGUAGCUAAAUGCGGAAGAGAUAAGUGCUGAAAGCAUCUAAGCACGAAACUUGCCCCGAGAUGAGUUCUCCCUGAGACUAUAAGUCUCCUGAAGGAACGUUAAAGACGAUGACGUUGAUAGGCCGGGUGUGUAAGCGCAGCGAUGCGUUGAGCUAACCGGUACUAAUGAACCGUGAGGCUUAACCUU